rnacentral:lncRNA from 1 species
UCAGUUCUUUUUCCCUUAGGUCUGUCUAGAAUCCUAAAGGCAAAUGACUCAAGGUGUAACAGAAAACAAGAAAAUCCAAUAUCAGGAUAAUCAGACCACCACAGGUUUACAGUUUAUAGAAACUAGAGCAGUUCUCACGUUGAGGUCUGUGGAAGAGAUGUCCAUUGGAGAAAUGGCUGGUAGUUACUCUUUUUUCCCCCCACCCCCUUAAUCAGACUUUAAAAGUGCUUAACCCCUUAAACUUGUUAUUUUUUACUUGAAGCAUUUUGGGAUGGUCUUAACAGGGAAGAGAGAGGGUGGGGGAGAAAAUGUUUUUUUCUAAGAUUUUCCACAGAUGCUAUAGUACUAUUGACAAACUGGGUUAGAGAAGGAGUGUACCGCUGUGCUGUUGGCACGAACACCUUCAGGGACUGGAGCUGCUUUUAUCCUUGGAAGAGUAUUCCCAGUUGAAGCUGAAAAGUACAGCACAGUGCAGCUUUGGUUCAUAUUCAGUCAUCUCAGGAGAACUUCAGAAGAGCUUGAGUAGGCCAAAUGUUGAAGUUAAGUUUUCCAAUAAUGUGACUUCUUAAAAGUUUUAUUAAAGGGGAGGGGCAAAUAUUGGCAAUUAGUUGGCAGUGGCCUGUUACGGUUGGGAUUGGUGGGGUGGGUUUAGGUAAUUGUUUAGUUUAUGAUUGCAGAUAAACUCAUGCCAGAGAACUUAAAGUCUUAGAAUGGAAAAAGUAAAGAAAUAUCAACUUCCAAGUUGGCAAGUAACUCCCAAUGAUUUAGUUUUUUUCCCCCCAGUUUGAAUUGGGAAGCUGGGGGAAGUUAAAUAUGAGCCACUGGGUGUACCAGUGCAUUAAUUUGGGCAAGGAAAGUGUCAUAAUUUGAUACUGUAUCUGUUUUCCUUCAAAGUAUAGAGCUUUUGGGGAAGGAAAGUAUUGAACUGGGGGUUGGUCUGGCCUACUGGGCUGACAUUAACUACAAUUAUGGGAAAUGCAAAAGUUGUUUGGAUAUGGUAGUGUGUGGUUCUCUUUUGGAAUUUUUUUCAGGUGAUUUAAUAAUAAUUUAAAACUACUAUAGAAACUGCAGAGCAAAGGAAGUGGCUUAAUGAUCCUGAAGGGAUUUCUUCUGAUGGUAGCUUUUGUAUUAUCAAGUAAGAUUCUAUUUUCAGUUGUGUGUAAGCAAGUUUUUUUUUAGUGUAGGAGAAAUACUUUUCCAUUGUUUAACUGCAAAACAAGAUGUUAAGGUAUGCUUCAAAAAUUUUGUAAAUUGUUUAUUUUAAACUUAUCUGUUUGUAAAUUGUAACUGAUUAAGAAUUGUGAUAGUUCAGCUUGAAUGUCUCUUAGAGGGUGGGCUUUUGUUGAUGAGGGAGGGGAAACUUUUUUUUUUUCUAUAGACUUUUUUCAGAUAACAUCUUCUGAGUCAUAACCAGCCUGGCAGUAUGAUGGCCUAGAUGCAGAGAAAACAGCUCCUUGGUGAAUUGAUAAGUAAAGGCAGAAAAGAUUAUAUGUCAUACCUCCAUUGGGGAAUAAGCAUAACCCUGAGAUUCUUACUACUGAUGAGAACAUUAUCUGCAUAUGCCAAAAAAUUUUAAGCAAAUGAAAGCUACCAAUUUAAAGUUACGGAAUCUACCAUUUUAAAGUUAAUUGCUUGUCAAGCUAUAACCACAAAAAUAAUGAAUUGAUGAGAAAUACAAUGAAGAGGCAAUGUCCAUCUCAAAAUACUGCUUUUACAAAAGCAGAAUAAAAGCGAAAAGAAAUGAAAAUGUUACACUACAUUAAUCCUGGAAUAAAAGAAGCCGAAAUAAAUGAGAGAUGAGUUGGGAUCAAGUGGAUUGAGGAGGCUGUGCUGUGUGCCAAUGUUUCGUUUGCCUCAGACAGGUAUCUCUUCGUUAUCAGAAGAGUUGCUUCAUUUCAUCUGGGAGCAGAAAACAGCAGGCAGCUGUUAACAGAUAAGUUUAACUUGCAUCUGCAGUAUUGCAUGUUAGGGAUAAGUGCUUAUUUUUAAGAGCUGUGGAGUUCUUAAAUAUCAACCAUGGCACUUUCUCCUGACCCCUUCCCUAGGGGAUUUCAGGAUUGAGAAAUUUUUCCAUCGAGCCUUUUUAAAAUUGUAGGACUUGUUCCUGUGGGCUUCAGUGAUGGGAUAGUACACUUCACUCAGAGGCAUUUGCAUCUUUAAAUAAUUUCUUAAAAGCCUCUAAAGUGAUCAGUGCCUUGAUGCCAACUAAGGAAAUUUGUUUAGCAUUGAAUCUCUGAAGGCUCUAUGAAAGGAAUAGCAUGAUGUGCUGUUAGAAUCAGAUGUUACUGCUAAAAUUUACAUGUUGUGAUGUAAAUUGUGUAGAAAACCAUUAAAUCAUUCAAAAUAAUAAACUAUUUUUAUUAGAGAAUGUAUACUUUUAGAAAGCUGUCUCCUUAUUUAAAUAAAAUAGUGUUUGUCUGUAGUUCAGUGUUGGGGCAAUCUUGGGGGGGAUUCUUCUCUAAUCUUUCAGAAACUUUGUCUGCGAACACUCUUUAAUGGACCAGAUCAGGAUUUGAGCGGAAGAACGAAUGUAACUUUAAGGCAGGAAAGACAAAUUUUAUUCUUCAUAAAGUGAUGAGCAUAUAAUAAUUCCAGGCACAUGGCAAUAGAGGCCCUCUAAAUAAGGAAUAAAUAACCUCUUAGACAGGUGGGAGAUUAUGAUCAGAGUAAAAGGUAAUUACACAUUUUAUUUCCAGAAAGUCAGGGGUCUAUAAAUUGACAGUGAUUAGAGUAAUACUUUUUCACAUUUCCAAAGUUUGCAUGUUAACUUUAAAUGCUUACAAUCUUAGAGUGGUAGGCAAUGUUUUACACUAUUGACCUUAUAUAGGGAAGGGAGGGGGUGCCUGUGGGGUUUUAAAGAAUUUUCCUUUGCAGAGGCAUUUCAUCCUUCAUGAAGCCAUUCAGGAUUUUGAAUUGCAUAUGAGUGCUUGGCUCUUCCUUCUGUUCUAGUGAGUGUAUGAGACCUUGCAGUGAGUUUAUCAGCAUACUCAAAAUUUUUUUCCUGGAAUUUGGAGGGAUGGGAGGAGGGGGUGGGGCUUACUUGUUGUAGCUUUUUUUUUUUUUACAGACUUCACAGAGAAUGCAGUUGUCUUGACUUCAGGUCUGUCUGUUCUGUUGGCAAGUAAAUGCAGUACUGUUCUGAUCCCGCUGCUAUUAGAAUGCAUUGUGAAACGACUGGAGUAUGAUUAAAAGUUGUGUUCCCCAAUGCUUGGAGUAGUGAUUGUUGAAGGAAAAAAUCCAGCUGAGUGAUAAAGGCUGAGUGUUGAGGAAAUUUCUGCAGUUUUAAGCAGUCGUAUUUGUGAUUGAAGCUGAGUACAUUUUGCUGGUGUAUUUUUAGGUAAAAUGCUUUUUGUUCAUUUCUGGUGGUGGGAGGGGACUGAAGCCUUUAGUCUUUUCCAGAUGCAACCUUAAAAUCAGUGACAAGAAACAUUCCAAACAAGCAACAGUCUUCAAGAAAUUAAACUGGCAAGUGGAAAUGUUUAAACAGUUCAGUGAUCUUUAGUGCAUUGUUUAUGUGUGGGUUUCUCUCUCCCCUCCCUUGGUCUUAAUUCUUACAUGCAGGAACACUCAGCAGACACACGUAUGCGAAGGGCCAGAGAAGCCAGACCCAGUAAGAAAAAAUAGCCUAUUUACUUUAAAUAAACCAAACAUUCCAUUUUAAAUGUGGGGAUUGGGAACCACUAGUUCUUUCAGAUGGUAUUCUUCAGACUAUAGAAGGAGCUUCCAGUUGAAUUCACCAGUGGACAAAAUGAGGAAAACAGGUGAACAAGCUUUUUCUGUAUUUACAUACAAAGUCAGAUCAGUUAUGGGACAAUAGUAUUGAAUAGAUUUCAGCUUUAUGCUGGAGUAACUGGCAUGUGAGCAAACUGUGUUGGCGUGGGGGUGGAGGGGUGAGGUGGGCGCUAAGCCUUUUUUUAAGAUUUUUCAGGUACCCCUCACUAAAGGCACCGAAGGCUUAAAGUAGGACAACCAUGGAGCCUUCCUGUGGCAGGAGAGACAACAAAGCGCUAUUAUCCUAAGCUUUUCCAGAAGCCUGUUAAAAGCAAGGUCUCCCCACAAGCAACUUCUCUGCCACAUCGCCACCCCGUGCCUUUUGAUCUAGCACAGACCCUUCACCCCUCACCUCGAUGCAGCCAGUAGCUUGGAUCCUUGUGGGCAUGAUCCAUAAUCGGUUUCAAGGUAAUAGCCUGCAGCUGGUGUUUUGAGAAGCCCUACUGCUGAAAACUUAACAAUUUUGUGUAAUAAAAAUGGAGAAGCUCUAAA